rnacentral:rRNA from 1 species
UACGUAGGGUGCGAGCGUUGUCCGGAAUUAUUGGGCGUAAAGAGCUCGUAGGCGGUUUGUCGCGUCGGCCGUGAAAACUUGGGGCUUAACCCCGAGCCUGCGGUCGAUACGGGCAGACUUGAGUUCGGCAGGGGAGACUGGAAUUCCUGGUGUAGCGGUGAAAUGCGUAGAUAUCUGGAGGAACACCGGUGGCGAAGGCGGCAUCCUGGACCGACAUUGACGCUGAGGAGCGAAAGCCAGGGGAGCAAACGGG